AGAGGGUGCGAGCGUUAAUCGGAAUUACUGGGCGUAAAGCGUGCGUAGACGGUUAUUUAAGUCGGGUGUGAAAGCCCCGGGCUCAACCUGGGAAUUGCAUUCGAGACUGAAUAGCUAGGGUACGGUAGAGGGAAGUGGAAUUUCCGGUGUAGCGGUGAAAUGCGUAGAUAUCGGAAGGAACAUCAGUGGCGAAAGCGACUUCCUGGACCAGUACCGACGUUCAGGCACGAAAGCGUGGGGAGCAAACAGGAUUAGAUACCCUGGUAGUCCACGCCAUAAACGAUGAGGACUAGACGUUGGAGGGUUAAGCCUUUCAGUGUCGUAGCUAACGCGCUAAGUCCUCCGCCUGGGGAGUACGGCCGCAAGGUUG
rnacentral:rRNA from 1 species